rnacentral:rRNA from 1 species
UACGAAGGGGGCUAGCGUUGCUCGGAAUCACUGGGCGUAAAGCGCACGUAGGCGGAUCUUUAAGUCAGGGGUGAAAUCCUGGAGCUCAACUCCAGAACUGCCUUUGAUACUGGGGAUCUCGAGUCCGGAAGAGGUGAGUGGAACUCCGAGUGUAGAGGUGAAAUUCGUAGAUAUUCGGAAGAACACCAGUGGCGAAGGCGGCUCACUGGUCCGGUACCGACGCUGAGGUGCGAAAGCGUGGGGAGCAAACAGG